rnacentral:rRNA from 1 species
GCAAGCAGCUAGCUCUCACCAACUCUCACAUGGUCGCCCAGCCCACUAAAGUGAAGCAGGACAGCGCCAGACAGUAGCUGGAUGGGAGACCACAUGGGAAAGCCAGGUUGCUGCCGGAG